GUGUCCCCAAGCCACCAAGAUGCCCCCAAAUAGGAGAGCUGAGAAGUUUGGGUCGCUACCAUCUCCAACACAGAAAUGGGCCAAGCAUGGAGGAGACCAGAAACUGUUUGACUGAAGGCCACCAGACAGCCUCAGAGGAACCAAAGAGAGCCUCAAAACAGAAGACCAGAAAAGGUCCUGAUUCCGAGAAGUGAAAUUUGGUGGCGUGAGAAGGAAAAACAACGUGGAAGGAAGAAAACCCCAAGAUAGCCAUUUAAAACUCCACAAUCAGACCUUGUUUAUG